UAGGGAAUCUUCGGCAAUGGACGAAAGUCUGACCGAGCAACGCCGCGUGAGUGAAGAAGGUUUUCGGAUCGUAAAACUCUGUUGUUAGAGAAGAACAAGGACGUUAGUAACUGAACGUCCCCUGACGGUAUCUAACCAGAAAGCCACGGCUAACUACGUGCCAGCAGCCGCGGUAAUACGUAGGUGGCGAGCGUUGUCCGGAUUUAUUGGGCGUAAAGCGAGCGCAGGCGGUUUCUUAAGUCUGAUGUGAAAGCCCCCGGCUCAACCGGGGAGGGUCAUUGGAAACUGGGAGACUUGAGUGCAGAAGAGGAGAGUGGAAUUCCAUGUGUAGCGGUGAAAUGCGUAGAUAUAUGGAGGAACACCAGUGGCGAAGGCGGCUCUCUGGUCUGUAACUGACGCUGAGGCUCGAAAGCGUGGGGAGCAAACAGG
rnacentral:rRNA from 2 species